GGAACCGUGCCUGAACUAAAGGGCCACUUUGAUAGAGUGAAUCAUGGGGGUUAAAGUCCCCCCAGUUCUU
rnacentral:tRNA from 1 species